rnacentral:rRNA from 1 species
UACAGAGGUGGCAAGCGUUGUUCGGAAUUACUGGGCGUAAAGGGCGCGUAGGCGGCCUUCUAAGUCAGACGUGAAAUCCCCCGGCUUAACCUGGGAACUGCGUCUGAUACUGGGAGGCUAGAGUAUGGGAGAGGGAUGUAGAAUUCCAGGUGUAGCGGUGAAAUGCGUAGAUAUCUGGAGGAAUACCGGUGGCGAAGGCGGCAUCCUGGACCAUUACUGACGCUGAGGAGCGAAAGCGUGGGGAUCAAACAGG